AUCCUGGCUCAGAACGAACGUUAGCGGCGCGCCUAACACAUGCAAGUCGAGCGAGAAGGGGGCAACCCCUGUAAAGCGGCGCACGGGUGAGUAACACGUAGGUAAUCUACCUCGAGGUGGUGGAUAACCUUCCGAAAGGAGGGCUAAUACAGCAUGGGACCACGUCUUCGAAAGAGGAUGAGGUAAAAGCGGGCCUCUAUACAUAAGCUCGCGCCACGAGAUGAGCCUGCGGCCCAUCAUGGUAGUUGGUAGGGUAACGGCCUACCAAGCCGAAGACGGGUAGCUGGUCUGAGAGGAUGAUCAGCCACACUGGAACUGAGACACGGUCCAGACUCCUACGGGAGGCAGCAGUGGGGAAUCUUGCGCAAUGGGCGAAAGCCUGACGCAGCGACGCCGCGUGAGUGAUGAAGGCCUCGGUUGUAAGCUACUGUGGAGGGGGACGGAAGUAAGGUU
rnacentral:rRNA from 1 species